rnacentral:rRNA from 1 species
AUACUGCUUUGAACAUCGACAUCUUGAACGCACAUUGCGGCCAUGGGCUAGCUCAUGGCCACGCCUGUCCGAGGGUCGGCUUAUAAACUAUCACGACGCCCAAAAAGUCGUGGCUUGGGUCUUGCCAGCUGACGUGAUUUCCCUAUUUGUGCAAACGAACGGGGUGUCAGAUCUAUGGCGUUUCCCUAAUAAUUCCAGUUACAACUCCUUUUGGCUGAAGGCCAUAUUGGAGGGUGAUUGUGGAGUCGUGGCUCAAUGGUAAUGUUUGUGCGCGCUCUGCAUGUUCACCGCUGUAUCUGUCUAAUGUGAAAUGCUUUUCGCAUUUUACCUGACCUCGGAUCAGACGUGAAUACCCGCUGAACUUAAGCAUAUCACUAAGCGGAGGAAAAGAAACUAACAAGGAUUCCCUCAGUAACGGCGAGUGAACAGGGAAAAGCCCAGCACCGAAGCCUGUGGCCAUUUGGUCAUUAGGCAAUGUGGUGUUUAGGUCGUUCCGCAGAGGUUCUGCUCCACCCUAAGUCCAUCAAUGAGUACGGUAGUAUGGACAUGGCCCAUUG